rnacentral:rRNA from 1 species
UAAGACGAAGGGGGCUAGCGUUGUUCGGAAUUACUGGGCGUAAAGCGCGUGUAGGCGGUUGCCCAAGUCGGGUGUGAAAGCCUUGAGCUCAACUCAAGAAAUGCACUCGGUACUGGGUGACUAGAGGACCGGAGAGGAUAGUGGAAUUCCCAGUGUAGUGGUGAAAUACGUAGAGAUUGGGAAGAACACCAGUGGCGAAGGCGGCUAUCUGGACGGUUUCUGACGCUAAGACGCGAAAGCGUGGGGAGCAAACAGGAUUAGAUACCCUGGUAGUCCACGCCGUAAACGAUGGGUGCUAGACGUUGGCGAGCUUGCUCGUCAGUGUCGCAGCUAACGCGUUAAGCACCCCGCCUGGGGAGUACGGCCGCAAGGUUG